rnacentral:rRNA from 1 species
UACGAAGGGGACUAGCGUUGUUCGGAAUCACUGGGCGUAAAGCGCACGUAGGCGGAUUUGUAAGUCAGGGGUGAAAUCCCGGGGCUCAACCUCGGAACUGCCUUUGAUACUGCGAAUCUUGAGUCCGAUAGAGGUGGGUGGAAUUCCUAGUGUAGAGGUGAAAUUCGUAGAUAUUAGGAAGAACACCGGUGGCGAAGGCGGCCCACUGGGACGUUACUGACGCUGAGACGCGAAAGCGUGGGGAGCAAACAGG